AUUCAUGGCUGAAGCGUCUGAAACAAGACUAACAAGACUAACGAGAUUAACAAGAGAAAAACAUACAAAUUUUUAAAAUAUAAGUUGUAUGUGACAUAGAAGCAUUUAUAAAGAAAAGAAGACCAGAAGAAACGGGUAGACCUGGGUAUUUUUAUGCUACUUUUGAUGAAAAUGGGAAUGCUUUUGGAGACGCAUGAGUGAAUAAAAAAAUAUGAUCUAAUGGUAAUAAACUAGAGGAAACAGAGCAAAGUCUGUUCAGAUUCUUCUCUGUGAUGCUUUGUCUUCAGAGCUCCUUCAGGUUGGAAGGAAUACCUUUACUUGGGGGCAUGUCAAUUCGUUUUUCUCACUUGAUUCAUCUUUAUGACUUCCUGAGGACAGAUCUAAUUCUAAAGUAACCAGAAGCCUGGCCAUCUCAGAGCAGCAAAUCCCUCAACCUUGGAGCACAAAUGAUCGCUGAUAGAGUCUGCAUAAAAUCAUCUUCCUCUAUCUGACAGCCAUGAGCAGAGCCUUGGGGGUAAAAAAAGCCACAGCCUUAAAUCUCUUCACUCAGAAAUUACCAUGAAGAUAAAAUAAAUAAAUGGAAAGGACUAUCAAGAAGCCAACAAAACAUAAACACCAAACCAACUCAUCUUGUUUCACUUUGGAAAUAAACUGUUCCCAGAUGUGAGACCAACAAAAUUAAUAUUAAGCAAUUAAACCAGUAAAUUAUAAACUGAUUUAUCAUUUGGGAAGUUUAAAGUACAGAGAGAUGAGGUACCUGUAGCCAGAAUUACACAUCAUUUCAAAAUAUGUAGACAAAAAGAAAACUGAAUGAACAGAGAAACAUUGCAGCAAUGCACAGUCUUAGGACGAAUGUUGCUGUUUGCAGACAGAGAAUGUUUGCCAUCUUGUGUAUAGCCUCAAAGCCAUACUGAGAUAAUAGCAUUGUUGUCAAUUGCUUGAAAAAUUUUCACAUUCAAUCCUUCAUGCUAUAUUGGUUGGAAGAGGAGGGAAGUCAGUUCUUACUGAUUACUUCUCAGUGAACUUCUAAUAUUUGCACUGUCACUUCCAUUCAGGGUAAUGAUGUGUGCUGUUAUUUGCACAGAUGGUCCCAUGAGUUUUGAGACCACAGCAAGCAGUUUUUUGCAGGAAUCCAAAAUGGAAAAAUGUAAGAAUUCUCAAGACAUUGAUUUUUCUUCUUUCAAAAAAAAAAAAUCAGUUAUCUAAUAAAAAAUGGAUUUGAUUUUAAAACAAAUUUAAAAACAUCUACAGAAUAACAAUGAAAAAGCAUCAGUGUGGUCAAAUGAAUCCAAAAGGGAUCCAAAGUUUUUAAUGACCAUCAUUUGAUAUCAUUAAAAACCAAGAAGUCAAAUACAGUGAAAUGCACACUAAGCAUUUGUGUUGAACAUCUAUUUGUUCUCUUAAUUAAAAAGUCAUUUGUAAUUUGUAUUUGGCAUAUAACAGUUUUUAUAGCCAAACAGCAUUUUCAGUUUAUUUUUCUAAAUAAAUCUGUUGUUUG
rnacentral:lncRNA from 1 species